AUGAAGACCUUUCUCAUCCUAGCCCUCCUUGCUAUCGUGGCGACCACCGCCACAAGUGCAGUUAGAGUUCCAGUGCCACAAUUGCAGCCGCAAAAUCCAUCUCAACAACAACCACAAGAGCAAGUUCCAUUGAUGCAACAACAACAACAAUUUCCAGGGCAGCAAGAACAAUUUCCACCACAACAGCCAUAUCCGCAUCAGCAACCAUUUCCAUCACAACAACCAUAUCCGCAGCCGCAACCAUUUCCGCCACAACUACCAUAUCCGCAGACGCAACCAUUUCCACCACAACAACCAUAUCCACAACCGCAACCACAGUAUCCGCAACCACAACAACCAAUUUCGCAGCAACAAGCACAACAACAACAACAACAACAACAAAUCCUUCAACAAAUUCUGCAACAACAACUGAUUCCAUGCAGGGAUGUUGUCUUGCAACAACACAACAUAGCGCAUGCAAGCUCACAAGUAUUGCAACAAAGUAGUUACCAACAGUUGCAACAAUUAUGUUGUCAGCAACUGUUUCAGAUCCCCGAGCAGUCGCGGUGCCAAGCCAUCCACAAUGUCGUUCAUGCUAUUAUUCUGCAUCAUCAUCAACAACAACAACAACAACCGUCGAGCCAGGUCUCCUACCAGCAGCCUCAGGAACAAUAUCCAUCAGGCCAGGGCUCCUUCCAGUCAUCUCAGCAAAACCCACAGGCCCAGGGCUCUGUCCAGCCUCAACAACUGCCCCAGUUCCAGGAAAUAAGGAACUUAGCGCUGCAGACGCUGCCAGCAAUGUGCAAUGUCUACAUCCCUCCAUAUUGCUCGACCACCAUUGCGCCAUUUGGCAUCUUCGGUACUAACUGA
rnacentral:rRNA from 1 species